rnacentral:tRNA from 1 species
UCUUGCGUAGUUUAGUGGCUAUGACGGGUCCUUGUCAUUCGACAGGACGGACCAGACCCGGGUUCAAUUCCCGGCGCGAGAG